AGACAGAGUUUCGCCAUGUUGGCUAGGCUGGUCUCAAACUCCUGACCUCAAGUGAUCCACAGGCCUUGGCCUCCCAAAGUGCUGGGAUUACAGGCAGUGAGUGAGUCACUGUGCCUGGCCAAGGCUGACUUUGAAGAUGGAGGAGGCUACGUGCAGAUGCCCUCCAGGAACUAAGAGCAGGUCCUGCCUGAUAGCCGACAAGGACCUAGACAAGGACCCCGAGACCUCCAUCCUACAACUUUAGGGAGAUGAACCUGUCACAAGCAUGUGAGCGUGAAAGAGGACUCAGGGCUCCAGGUCGUGAAGGUGUUGAUUGUCCUGACCCCACAGUUUCUGUCCCGUGACAAGGACCAGCUGACCAAGGAGCUGCAGCAGCAUGUAAAGUCAGUGACAGUCUCAUGCAAGUCCCCAAGGAAGAUGGAGUUUGUCCCGGAGCUGCCGAAAACUGUCACUGGAAAGAUUAAACAAGGUGAACUUGAGAAAAGGAGCUUGGUCAGAUGUAAUCAGCAGUGAACUCGGAACCAACUGGCACCUUCGGCAAAUCCCUGGCCACUUCAGUCUCCCCACUAGGGCGGGGUGAUGAUGAGACAUUGAGAGGGUUGAUUUGGAAAAGCAUCAGGAGGGCCACAAUUCCAAUGUUUUUCUUUUCUUUUUCUUUCUUUUCUUUUUUUUUUUUUUUUUUGAGACAGAACUUCAUUCUUGUUGCCCAGGCUGGAGUGCAGUGGCGUGAUCCUGGCUCACUGCAACCUCCGCCUCCUGGGUUCAAGCCCUUCUCCCAUCUCAGCCUCCUGAGUAGCUGGGACUGCAGGUGCCCGCCACCACACCCAGCUAAUUUUUGUAUUUUUAGUAGAAAUAGAGUUUCACCGUGUUGGCCAGGCUGGUCUUGAACUACUGUCCUCAGGUGAUCCACCCACCUCAGCAUUUCAAAAUGCUGGGAUUUCAGGCGUGAGCCACCGCACCCGGACUGUUUUUGUUAUUUUAAGUUACAUUCAGUUACUCUGCUUCCUCCAAGUCCUCUCUGUGUCUUUAGAAUUUCCCAGGUGAGUACACAGAUUGGAGUUCCAGGUAAUAAAAUAUUAAUUUCGACAAUA